UGUACUGGACAGAAUUUGGGAAUAUAACAGAAAUUGGUAGAUCAUAUAUGGAUGGAACGUCAAAAAAGUAUAUAGCAACAACAGAAAUUGGAUGGCCAAACGGUCUCGCUAUAGAGUUUAUAUCCAACAGACUAUACUGGACAGAUGGUCUUUGAAAUCGCAUAGAGUACUCAGAUUUAAAUGGAGGAAACAGAUAGGUUUUAACAACUGAUAAUGACGCACAUCUAAUGAGCAUUGUGAUUCGUGGACAAUUUUUAUAUUACACUGCGUGGAAUAGACAGAGUAUAACAAAGAUAAAUAAAGCAGCGGGUUCCAAAGUUACGUUUAUGACAAACCAUCCAGAGCUUGGUCGACUUGAUAGUCUAGAUAUCUAUUCAGGUGAUUCAGUGGAUGGUAAUAGAAUUUGUUCAAAGAAUAACGGAGGAUGCAGUACGUUCUGCUUUCUAACACCAACAGGAAGAACAUGUGGAUGUCAGGAUAAUGUUAAUUUACAAGCAGACCAAACAACAUGUCAAGGAGUAUCUCACUGUGACACUUCUCUACAGAUUGUAGAUUUCCAUGACUGUCUUCCAUACCUUGGACAAACUUGUCAAGUUGCGUGCAAAUCUGGAUAUAGGCUUGUUGUCAAAGCAUCUGUCACUUGUGAUCAAUCCGGACAUUGGAAUCCAUCCCCGAAUCCUU